CCAGGCUGAGGCAGUGAGAAUAACAAGGAAAAGGGCUGCAUGCCAAUAAAUCUAUUUGAGUCAUCUUUAUUAGUCCAGGGGAUGGAGGAUUAGAGCCCAGACUGAGACAGUAAGAGUAGAAAGGGACACAGAGAUAAGAGGCACUGAAGGAAACAACCAAAACAGUCAGGCUGGACUGAUGAAUGUAGAGGAGUAGGAAUACAGUGGUGGCCUGAAGCACCACCCCUGGAAUAAGAAUGCAGUUGCUCUGUAAAUCACAUUUUGGACACCAAGAUAUUAGACUCAUCCAGAUGCCUGAGGAAGAUGGUAUAAAGAACAAGGUAAUCUUGGAAAUAUAACAGGCAUGGGAGCCAGCUCAUGAAGACACAUAUGAGAAGUUCAGAUGUGUAAUACUAUGAAACUUGAACAUUGUCUUGUGGAUCACAUGAAGAAGGGUCAGAAAAAAUCACAGUAAGAAGUUAGCCAUUUGGAAGCCAAGGGGAAAGACCUCAAAAGACCUCAGCCUUGCAGAAAGACCUUAAUCUAGGACUUCUACUAUCCAUAAUUAUAAGCCAGUAUGUCUACAAGUCAAUCUGCCCCAUUUGAGAUUAAGAUGUGUGAUCUCAGUUCCUCCUUUACCCUGCCGGCAUGGACUCUAAGCCUCUGACACCAUAACCCAAGCGUACUCUUUUACUGAGGUCGACUUCAAGACUCCACUUCUUCAUAGUCCCAUCAUUUUCAUCCUGAGUGCAGAUCUUUACCACAUGUACCUUUGUAGAACACUGAAGAUUCAGCUACAGUAAUGCUAAAAUAUGCUGUCUCAUACCUAGAUUGACCUGUAUCCCAAAUGUUCACACUCUGCUAUAUUCUUACUCAAAUCUAUACCUUUAUUUUAUCAAUGUAUUUUCAUUGUUCAUAAUAAAAUUUACUCCUGAAGCUU
ensembl:lincRNA Gm42985 predicted gene 42985